rnacentral:rRNA from 1 species
UACGAAGGGUGCAAGCGUUAAUCGGAAUUACUGGGCGUAAAGCGUGCGUAGGCGGUUUGUUAAGUCUGCUGUGAAAUCCCCGGGCUCAACCUGGGAAUGGCAGUGGAUACUGGCAAGCUGGAGUACGGCAGAGGAAGGUGGAAUUCCCGGUGUAGCGGUGAAAUGCGUAGAGAUCUGGAGGAACAUCAGUGGCGAAGGCGGCCACCUGGCCCAAUACUGACGCUGAGGCACGAAAGCGUGGGGAGCAAACAGG